rnacentral:rRNA from 1 species
GAGGGUUGAUCAGGUAGAUAGGAUGGAAGUGGAAGUGCAGUGAUGCAUGGAGCGGACCAUUACUAAUCGGUCGAGGACUUAACCAAA